CACCGAGAAAGGCAAACUCCACCGAAAGGGGAGGACGCAAAAUCUCCAGCCUACGGCCCUCGGGCUAAGGUAGUGGGAUUGCCGAA
rnacentral:ncRNA from 1 species